UCCUGGCCGCGGUGAUGUACGUCAAGAAGAAGCGCAGGUCCGACCGGCUGCGGCACCGGCUGCUGCCCAUGUACAGCUACGACCCGGCUGAGGAGCCGCCCGAGUCGGAGCAGGAGCUGCUGGUG